GAUGAACGCUAGCGGCAGGCUUAAUACAUGCAAGUCGAGGGGCAGCGGGGUAGCAAUACCGCCGGCGACCGGCAAACGGGUGCGGAACACGUACAGAACCUCCCUCAAAGUGGUGAAUAGCCUUCCGAAAGGAAGAUUAAUACACCGUAAUAUUACAGAGUGGCAUCACUUUAUAAUUAUAGAUUUAUCGCUUAGAGAUGGCUGUGCGGCUGAUUAGGUAGUUGGCGGGAAAGCCCACCAAGCCUGCGAUCAGUAACUGGUGUGAGAGCACGACCAGUCACACGGGCACUGAGUCACGGGCCCGACUCCUACGGGAGGCAGCAGUAAGGAAUAUUGGGCAAUGGACGAGAGUCUGACCCAGCCAUGCCGCGU
rnacentral:rRNA from 1 species